rnacentral:rRNA from 1 species
CAGGCUUAACACAUGCAAGUCGAGGGGCAGCAUGGUCUUAGCUUGCUAAGGCCGAUGGCGACCGGCGCACGGGUGAGUAACACGUAUCCAACCUGCCGUCUACUCUUGGACAGCCUUCUGAAAGGAAGAUUAAUACAAGAUGGCAUCAUGAGUCCGCAUGUUCACAUGAUUAAAGGUAUUCCGGUAGACGAUGGGGAUGCGUUCCAUUAGAUAGUAGGCGGGGUAACGGCCCACCUAGUCUUCGAUGGAUAGGGGUUCUGAGAGGAAGGUCCCCCACAUUGGAACUGAGACACGGUCCAAACUCCUACGGGAGGCAGCAGUGAGGAAUAUUGGUCAAUGGGCGAGAGCCUGAACCAGCCAAGUAGCGUGAAGGAUGACUGCCCUAUGGGUUGUAAACUUCUUUUAUAAAGGAAUAAAGUCGGGUAUGUAUACCCGUUUGCAUGUACUUUAUGAAUAAGGAUCGGCUAACUCCGUGCCAGCAGCCGCGGUAAUACGGAGGAUCCGAGCGUUAUCCGGAUU